rnacentral:rRNA from 1 species
CCUACGGGGGGCAGCAGUGAGGAAUAUUGGUCAAUGGACGAGAGUCUGAACCAGCCAAGUAGCGUGAAGGAUGACUGCCCUAUGGGUUGUAAACUUCUUUUAUAUGGGAAUAAAACGUUCCACGUGUGGGAUUUUGUAUGUACCAUAUGAAUAAGGAUCGGCUAACUCCGUGCCAGCAGCCGCGGUAAUACGGAGGAUCCGAGCGUUAUCCGGAUUUAUUGGGUUUAAAGGGAGCGUAGGUGGAUUGUUAAGUCAGUUGUGAAAGUUUGCGGCUCAACCGUAAAAUUGCAGUUGGAACUGGCAGUCUUGAGUACAGUAGAGGUGGGCGGAAUUCGUGGUGUAGCGGUGAAAUGCUUAGAUAUCACGAAGAACUCCGAUUGCGAAGGCAGUUCACUGGACUGCAACUGACACUGAGGCUCGAAAGUGUGGGUAUCAAACAGGAUUAGAUACCCGAGUAGUC